GGUCCGGUGGCUGAGGUGACAGCGGCACCGUUCUUCAAACGGCAGGGCCGGGGUUCAAAUCCCAUCCAGACCG
rnacentral:tRNA from 1 species